rnacentral:rRNA from 1 species
GCAAGUCGAACGGAUGUAGCAAUACAUUAGUGGCAAACGGGUGAGUAAUAUAGAGGAAUCUACCUAACAGUACGGAAUAACUCUGGGAAACCAGUGCUAAUACCGUAUACUACCAUUUAUUUGGGAAAGAUUUAUCGCUGUUAGAUGAGCCUCUUUCGGAUUAGCUAGUUGGUAGGGUAAUGGCCUACCAAGGCUUUGAUCCGUAGCUGGUCUUAGAGGAUGAUC